GAUAGUGAGGUUUUGAUGUAAGGCCUUGAGGUAGUAGAUAGUGAUAGUGGUAUGUACUCAGCAGACUAGAAACCUAGAAUAUGUAGAAGAUCCUAAGUUAGGAGGAAGGGAUGAUUGAUUUAAAAUUGUACUAGUUUUAUUGGGGGGGGGAAAAUAAAGUUGAAGCCCUGAGAAAAGGGUCUGAAUAAGAUUUUGGGUAUGGUAUCACUACUUCCUAGGUUGAAGAGGCAGAUUAGUAGUGUAGACCAGGCCUAGAACACACCAGGAAGGGAAAAUGUAAAAGCCAAAAAAAAAAAAGCAUAGUAAUUCCUGCAUUUUAGUAAUCUGGCAUCAAUUUCCAGUUCAUGAAAGGCACACAGAAAUAUUUAAGGAUCUGAAAGGAAGCAUUAACAGCCUGGAUUGGAUAACUCAAUAUGUAUUAAUGAGCCCUGCUUGUAGUUAUUUAUAUAGUGCUUUGGGAUCCUUCAGGGUGAAAGGAGCUAUGGGCUUGCUUUGCCUUCUCCUUGUCCUCCUGUAAGCAAGGUUGGUGGUGCAGACACAUACAGCAUGUGUGAUUGGGAAAGGAGCUAUAUAGAGGGGAGAAGAAAUCUCCUUGAUUGGAGUAGUAAAGGACUGUGAAGCCCUGCCCUGGGGAAGGGCUGGAGGACACCUGCUACAGCUGAACUGAGGAUAAAUGGGAUAUCCCUAAGCACAUAGAGAAAGUGUCCUGCAUGGCCGCUCCUCCUGCCUAACCCUACAGAUGCCAACUCUACCUCUGUUGUACCGCUUUUGUCCUAAGUUGAGGAUAGGAUGGGCACCAUCUUUAAAUUGAAAUGAAAACUGGACCCAUGCCAUCAUGCACAACCCCAAGGGCAAUCUCCGUCCAUGCCAGGUCAUUGCCUUGGAUCAUCAGGGCCACAGCACAGAUUGUUACUCAAAUGACAGGUCUUGCCAUCACAACUGGCACUAUUGUUGGCUGCCUCAACUGAGGAAACCAAGGACUGAAUGGACAUGGAGAUAAAACUACCUAUUUACUCUCGAAAGAGAUGCCUCCAGGAUAGGCUUAUUGCUUGUUAGCAGGGAAUUGGUGCCUGUACUAUCUUAUUGUGAAUAAACAGAGGAUCACAGUCUCCAGGAUUCAUAUAUUAGCUUUCAUGAACUUUGAACUCAUUUUAAAAACCUGGAGAGAUGAAGUACUGGGUGGAUUGUCAUUAUGUUCCAUACAAAUAAACAUCAGAGGUGGAAAUGAGAUGGAUGACCUAUCUGGAAACUCUUCCUCUCUGUAGGGCAGUCCUAAAAAUUCUCCUUUAUGAACCAAUAACCUCCUUAACCACCCCCAUUCAAACCAGACCUGUUGCAGCACUGACGCUGCAGCAGAGAGAGAGACUGUACAGAUUUCUCUGGAGCUGGUCAAUGCUGUUCUCAACAUGGGUGGAGUGAACAAUCCAAACCCUGAGUCCUGUACUGCAACAGUCCCUAUCGGUCUUGAAACUAUUAUAUUUAGCAGCUUUUAACUGGAGCAUCCUAGCCUUUGCUAAUCUAGAACUUCAGUGUUAAAUCACUGAAAAGUCUUGUGUUUAGAGAUUGAGGGCUUUUUAAACUUGGAAAGGAGUUCACUGUCCAUGUGAAGCUCAUGGGCAGGAAGCACUAUUCUCCACUGGAGAUCAUAAAGCAAUGCUUCUGCAUCUGAGAAGUGAUAUCAGAUAUCAAAGGAAGGAAAAGGGGAAUACUUGGUGCUGGACUGAGGCCUGAAAAAUCUAUACUCCAACAGAUGUAGCGAUGCGGACCUAACCCCAUGUAGACACAGCUAUGUAGAUGGAAUAAUGCCUCCGUUGACUUAGCUACCAUCAUCUGGGCAGGUGCUGUAUGGAGAAACCCCUUCCGUUGCUGUAGGCUAUGACCUGUAGAUAUGCUGUUGUAGUUUCCAUAGUAUAGACACAGUUCUCUGAAGGAAAAAAGAAUUGCAGUAAUGAUUCAACACCUCCCUUUCGCUCGCUCGCUAGUCUCUGGCAAGUAAAUAGCCACUUUGUUUUAAUACAUAAAUAAAAUAAUGCAUUGAAGUGUGGUCCUAGCUGAGCUUCAGGAAGAUAGAAAAUUUGGUUCUAAACUUAUGCUGGUAUAAACUGACACAACUCCAUUGACUUCAAUUUGACCCUGAAUUUAGUGAUGUAUUCUUGUCCCUUUUUCUGUGCUGCCAAAGUGUCUCAGAAUAUUUAGUAUGUUGCACCACAUGAAUGGCAUGAGACUGUAUCUCAGCUUCUGCACAAAAAGUGACAUUGUACAUAACCGGCAGCUUUGACUCCUGUGUGCGUGCAAAUGAGGUUUGCCCUGUUAAUGAAUACCAUGAAUUGUGUACAAUUGCAUGCAUUCCAUUCACAACACUUAAGGAAAAAAACUCACUUAUUUGUGGUCUUUAAAUCUAAAGAAAACGGAUCAAUCUGUGGGCUGGCCUCUGGGUAAAUACCGCCUAUGCUUUUCCACUAGAAACGUACUACAACAGCUUCUUUACAGAAAGCAGGGCCAGAUUUUUAAAAGAUGUAUAUUUAGGUGCCUAGGGGGAUUUUCAAAAGCUCUAAGUGCCUAACUCCUAUUGAAAUCACUGGGAGUUACUUAGGUGCUUCUGAAAAUACCACAAGGUGCCUAAAUACCUUUAAAAAUCUGUCCUUGGUUUCCUCAGCUUUUUCAGUUUGAACAUUGUUCUAGUGCUAGGACAUAAAUGUCCUAAAUUUCAAAACCGAGGAGAAAAUGUAACCAAUUGUUUGAACAAGGACAGAAAUGAAAGCAACUUUUUAAAUCGCAGUGAUGAUGAUUGCCAAACUUAGGCCCUGAUUCAGGAAGGCACUUGAGCAUGCAUGUAGCUUUAAGAAUGGUAGUAACCCCAUUAAAAUCAGUGGGGCUACUCCUGAGCUUAACUGACAAAUGUGUGUAAGUAACAUGCUGAAUUGAAGCCAUGGCUUGAUAACACGAGAGAGUGAGCUUGUGUGUAGAUUUGUAUCAUUGCUUAGCCACUGAGACCAACCUUCCAUAUUCUACGUAUAGAGGCUGGAGGAGAAAAAGAGGAAGUGACUGAAUUACAAGUGAAACUCUGAUUCAGAAUAUCAAAUGACUUGGAGCUCAACAGCUUAAGGGAUAACAGCAAUGGUCUUUCAUUUCUGGCACUGUGGUUUGAAUUUCCUGAAGGCAUAAGUAUUUGGAAAUGAACAGACUGACUCUUAACUCUGCUCUGAUAACGUUGCCUCAAGAAUUGGCUGGAAAAGAGAAUUCUGACUGCUGUUAGUAGUGUUUUUUCCUGGAAAGCUUGGCAUGAACACUAGUAAGAGAGAUCAGCUGAAUACUUAACACCUGAGAAGUUAAAGCCUAGUGUUCUCUCUUGUUGCUUUUGCUCUUUAUCUUACUUAUGCCACACUUCAGCAGCCACAUUUAUUGGCAGGUGUUUGUUUUGUAUUUCCCUCACCAAUCAGGCUAUUUUAUAUCCUAGCAUUGUGAUACUUAGUGCAAAGCAGAUCAAUAUUUCACUUUAAGUUUCUGCCACAAGAGAGCAGUGUUGAUGUUAUAAGCUGAGGCAGUGUGCCUCUCAUAAUCUUUUUUUUUCUUCCACCAAAACAUGUUUGAAUAUUGCAAGUGAAAUUCUGAUUUAGUAUAAUAUCUGUUCUGAGAGCUCAACAGAUUAAGGGUUAAACUUAAUGGAUGAUCUUUAAUUUCUGAUGCUGUUUCAGUCUCUUGGAGGUAUAACAGAAAUGAGUUUGGGGUUGUCUUUUUUUUAUUAUUUUUAAUAGCUUAUAAAAUUCAUGUUUCACCCUCACACAGCAUAAGCAAUUUUUUGUUAUAGAGAGGCCAAAUUCUGCUCUCACACUGAUGCAAAUUUGUUGAAGUUAAUGGAAUUUCAUGGGUGUAAAUGAGAGCAUAAUAUGGGGGGCAUGUGAUGUGACAAGAUUUUCAAAGAUGUUGAGCUUCACUGGGAGUUACAAAUGCUCAGCUUUGAAAAUCAGGCAAGUGCUGCUCAUUUAUAUGAAUAGGGGCAAAUCUUUGUCUUGAUUUGCAAAAUUAUCACUGAAGAGCAACAGCAGUAGAUCAAGUUAAUGGGAGUUGCAUGAAUAAGCGUGCAGAAUUUGCACAAGUACAUUGCAUUAGUAAAGAUGGCUUGUGUGUGUGUGUGUUGUUGGCAAGCUAUUGGUAAGGAUCACAAAUACUGAACCUCUACAGAUAUUCAUCCCUCAAAAAUACAGCAUUUGUAUCUUGGGUAUAGAAAUUCAGUUCUCACAGAUCAAUUAGAACUGUGUAGGGAAAAAUACUUCCCCUUCUCCAACACUCUCCCACCAAGCUGGAAAUCACAGAUGUGAUAUUACUUGAAAAGAGAACAUCCAUUUAGUCUCUAAACUUUCAAUAUUUUCCAGAAAAAUGCUUAAUGUGACUUCUUUACUGGUGUAAAAGCUGUGGGUUUUGCUCUGAUGUAAUGAAGCUGAUUUGUUCCCCAGUGGAAUUUUGCCACUCAAUACCAUGAAUGAUGGUUACAUUGGGAUCUUGAUCAAAUUUACCAAUUCUCACAAAUUCAUUAAAAUCUGUUUUUACAGGUAAAAACUGAUUCAUUUUGUCAAGAGUGAACAGAAUGACUUAUCAGUAAAAGCAAAUUGUUCAGGAAACUUGUACUUGCUUAUAAAACAGAUAGCGGACAUGGUCCUUGCCUUGAAAGCAUAGGGAAUAAUUGUAAAGCUGCUGAGCAAACACAUUUCCCAAUAACUUCACCUUGAUUUAUGAAUGCUCAGCAUCUAUGUGAAUCAAGACUAAAUGAGACGUGUGCAAGCCAAGUCACAGGACAACAAUUUCAGUGAGUGAGGAUGAGGGGAAGAUAGGAAGGAUUACCUGAAGAGAAGGUGGGUUUGAAGGAGAGCUGUGAGAGAGUGCUUGGCAGAUAAAGGUAAAGAGAAGGUUCCAAGCAUGACAGCAGCAUUUUAGGUAUGAAAUUGAGAAUGGAAAGAAUUAUGGGACACAUUUUCUGCGGGCAUAGUGCUACUGAAGUCAGUGGAGUUAUACCAACAGAGAAUUUGGCUUAGUGGGUGAAGAUCAAUAGGAGCACUGGGACAAGAACAGGGAGGGAGAAAGGACUAAACUAUAGUGGAGAAGGGAGGUUAGGGGAGUUGGGGAGGGGGAAGUCAAUAUUCUUCAAGGUCUUGUAAGUGAGGAUGAGGAUCCUGAAUAAGGAGCAGUCUGAACUGGAUAACCAGAUUAGGGUAUCUGCUGACAUAGCUGAAAUGGAUUUGGAUGUCUAACUAAAAAUAGCUUUCUUUUAUUUAAGUAUGCACAAUAUCUACAAAGCAUUCAACUUUCUAUGUGCUAUCAUGAUAGGAUGCAAGUCAAUCCAAAAUUAAGAACCAUUCCUAUCUUCUGUAUUUUCCUGUACAGUUUAUGUAUGUACCAGAGUAUAAACUGUUGAGAUUUUUUAAAAAAAAUCUGAUAAGUAAGGGUAGCAUAAUACAUUUGUGUAA